GACGAACGCUGGCGGCGUGCUUAACACAUGCAAGUCGAACGGUAAGGCCCUUCGGGGUACACGAGUGGCGAACGGGUGAGUAACACGUGGGUGAUCUGCCCUGCACUUCGGGAUAAGCCUGGGAAACUGGGUCUAAUACCGGAUAGGACUCCGGACUGCAUGGUCUGGGGUGGAAAGCUUUUGCGGUGUGGGAUGGGCCCGCGGCCUAUCAGCUUGUUGGGGGGGUGAUGGCGUACCAAGGCGACGACGGGUAGCCGGCCUGGGAGGGUGACCGGCCACACGGGGACUGAGAGACGUCCCAGACUCCUACGGGAGGCAGCAGUGGGGAAUAUUGCACAAUGGGCGCAAGCCUGAUGCAGCGACGCCGCGUGAGGGAUGACGGCCUUCGGGUUGUAAACCUCUUUCAGCACAGACGAAGCGCAAGUGACGGUAUGUGCAGAAGAAGGACCGGCCAACUACGUGCCAGCCGCCGCGGUAA
rnacentral:rRNA from 1 species